AAUGUAGAGAAAAUUACCGACCAUAUCAGCUGACACUAAUCAGCUGACACAAAUCAGCUGACACAAAUCAGCUGACACUAAUCAGCUGACACUAAUAAGCUGACACUAAUCAGCUGACACUAAUCAGCUGACACUAAUCAGCUGACACUAAUCAGCUGAAACUAAUCAGCUGACACUAAUCAGCUGACACUAAUCAGCUUCAAUUUACAAAAAUCGACGGACUCAUAUUCAGCUGAAGAAAAAAAUCAUAAAAUCCACGGCCUGCAAUGAAACCGAUUGGUAAAAAUUGUUAUUUGUUCGUCAAGAACUAGAAAAAAAAUGGUCGAUUAAGAAUGAAAGUGCAUACUGCUAUAAUUGUGAAAAAACAAACAAAAUUCAGAGCUAAAUAAACAUGGAGGCACCACAGAAAGAGGAUGGAAGGUUCUCUCCUAUGGCCUGGAUGCGGCACAGAACCCCCUCCCUGCCAUCUUGUAUUGGAAAAAGAAAACUUUCUUUUCUUCAGAAACUGCAUUCUCGGAAGAAAAGUGCCCCCCAUCA